AGUGAACGCUGGCGGUAGGCCUAACACAUGCAGGUCGAACGGCAGCACAGUAAGAGCUUGCUCUUACGGGUGGCGAGUGGCGGACGGGUGAGGAAUACAUCGGAAUCUACUUUUUCGUGGGGGAUAACGUAGGGAAACUUACGCUAAUACCGCAUACGACCUACGGGUGAAAGCAGGGGAUCUUCGGACCUUGCGCGAUUGAAUGAGCCGAUGUCGGAUUAGCUAGUUGGCGGGGUAAAGGCCCACCAAGGCGACGAUCCGUAGCUGGUCUGAGAGGAUGAUCAGCCACACUGGAACUGAGACACGGCCCAGACUCCUACGGGAGGCAGCAGUGGGGAAUAUUGGACAAUGGGCGCAAGCCUGAUCCAGCCAUACCGCGUGGGUGAAGAAGGCCUUCGGGUUGUAAAGCCCUUUUGUUGGGAAAGAAAAGCAGCAGGUUAAUACCCCGCUGUUCUGACGGUACCCAAAGAAUAAGCACCGGCUAACUUCGUG
rnacentral:rRNA from 1 species